rnacentral:misc_RNA from 1 species
GAAAUGCGAUAAGUAAUGUGAAUUGCAGAAUUCCGUGAAUCAUCGAAUCUUUGAACGCACAUUGCGCCCUCUGGCAUUCCGGGGGGCAUGCCUGUCCGAGCGUCAUUACGCACCCUCAAGCCCGGCUUGUGGGAUGGGCCCCGGCGUCUCGUUCGCGAGACGGGCCCGAAAGGCAGCGGCGGCGUCGACCCGAUGAGCCCGAGCGUAUGGGGACUUCUGUCACACGUUCGCGGUGCGGACCGGCGCCUGCUUUGACUUUUCUGAUUAUCCAGGUUGACCUCGGAUCAGGUAGGGAUACCCGCUGAACUUAAGC